AAUUAUUGGUGGGGUGACAGUGACAAUCAGAGGAGAAUGCACUGGUUUGCGUACUGGAAGUUGUGUGGGCCAAAGAAAGAAGGUGGAAUGGGAUCUCAAGAUAUUCAUUGUUUUAACCUAGCCCUGCUUGCGAAACAAGCUUGGUGAUUAAUUGAUAAUCUGAAUUCCCUUUGUGCCCGUGUUCUCAAAGCCAAAUAUUAUCCAGAUUGUGAUAUUUUGAAUGCAACUUCAAAAAAGAGAGCCUCGUUCACAUGGCAAAGUAUUAUGUCAGGGGUGUAG
rnacentral:rRNA from 1 species